rnacentral:rRNA from 1 species
GAUGAACGCUGGCGGCGUGCCUAAUACAUGCAAGUCGAACGCUGGAGAUCUAGCUUGCUAGAUCGAAGGAGUGGCGAACGGGUGAGUAAUACAUAAGCAACCUACCCACGAAGACUGGGAUAAUCUCUGGAAACGGGGACUAAUACCGGAUAGGUAAUCGGAAGGCAUCUUCUGGUUAUUAAAGGUUAAAAACACUGGUGGAUGGGCUUAUGGCGCAUUAGUUAGUUGGUGAGGUAACGGCCCACCAAGACGAUGAUGCGUAGCCGGCCUGAGAGGGUGAACGGCCACAUUGGGACUGAGACACGGCCCAGACUCCUACGGGAGGCAGCAGUAGGGAAUUUUCGGCAAUGGGGGCAACCCUGACCGAGCAACGCCGCGUGAGUGAAGACGGCCUUCGGGAUGUAAAGCUCUGUUGUAAGGGAAGAACGGUAGAUAGAGAAUAUCUAAGUGACGGUACCUUACCAGAAAGCCACGGCUAACUACGUG